UACGUAGGGUGCAAGCGUUGUCCGGAAUUAUUGGGCGUAAAGAGCUCGUAGGCGGUCUGUCGCGUCGAAUGUGAAAACCCGGGGCUCAACCCCGGGCCUGCAUUCGAUACGGGCAGACUAGAGUUCGGUAGGGGAGUCUGGAAUUCCUGGUGGUAGCGGUGAAAUGCGCAGAUAUCAGGAGGAACACCGAUGGCGAAGGCAGGUCUCUGGGCCACUACUGACGCUGAGAAGCGAAAGCA
rnacentral:rRNA from 1 species